GACUUGUACUGAGGAACUAGUUCCGAUACCGCGACCACCGGUGAUAAAAUAGUGGCGGCACAGGGGUGCGUUUUGCUCUUCGGAGCGGCUCGGUGGAGUGUGAGAUUGGCACCAGGAGGUGCGGCACAGUGGUGCAUUGGCUCAGUGGAGCGGCUCUGCGGAGAGUUGUAUUGGCACUUCAGUGUAACCAUGCCACUGGGUGAUGUGGCCGUAGUCAUGCGGUUGAGUUAUUUUGAGUCUCGGAUCGGGUUUACGGAUUAUCGUGUGGAUUUUUGGAUUCAUGAGUUUUAGCUGCUUUUUAUAUGCAUCAUGACAUGUUAUAUGAUGACUUUAUUGCAUGAUGUUGCCUACUGAGCUGUUAGCUCACUCCUACUAUUUACAUUUUUGCAGGUAAUGACAUGUGAUUAUAGGGAUUACGGGAUGGAGUGAUCAUGAUGUAUUUAGCUAGUAAAUAUUGACUUUUCUUUUGACAUAUGUAUAUGUGGACAUUUGAUAUGAAAAUUGAAAUUUAUUUUUAUUUAGUUAUUGAUGGUUGAUCUGAUUUAUCUGCCUUGUGUGCCUGCGGGGUUCGCCCUACAGGUGCGCGGCAUCUGCUCGCGUCCUAGGCCCUGGGUUCGGAGCGUGACAGAGACCUUAGGAUAUGUGGUGGAGGGCUCUACCCCCUUCUGUAGCCUACUGCAUAAUGCAUACAGUUCUCUUCUAUCAAAAGUUUUUUCUUAUUUUCAUAAACAAAAAAAUGGCACCACAGGUUUUUUUUUAUUUGUUAUCAUAUUUGAUUCCCAGCAUUAUAACCAGCAUUUUGGAUUUCACCAUCAAAAUAUGCUGUCGUAUCAGUAGAACAAUUACUCUCUGACAUUUACCAGUAAAUCCUUUUCUUAAAUUUAAUACUUCCACCAGUAAAUCAUCCGGUUUCU
rnacentral:lncRNA from 1 species